AGCACAAAGAACAACACUAUUUAAAGAUCACACACAUACCCUCUCAAACACAUCAUCUGCCUUUGGGAAAGCAACGUGUUCACUGUGAUAAUUCAGCACCAGGACCUGAGGUGGUGGGAACAGCUUUGGCUGGUUUGCUGCUCUCCAAGGAGCUCCUGUGCCGGCCUCAUUGGACAAGCAUCCCUGCCUGCCCUGCGGCGCAGAGUCUCCAGGACCAGCAGAUGGCGCACUUGCACAGUCCACACAUUUUCCAGGUUCUCAAGUGUUCAUUUCCUGGAUGUUCUGACUAAUUUAAACUAUGGUUAAUUGAAUACUGAAAUAUUCAGGAAACAAUGACAAGAACAAUUUGCUAUGGACAAUUUCCACCUGUACUCUCAAGACUUAGAAGCCAUAUGGAUAGAAUGAAAUAGGAUUCCAUCAUUCUCGGCCCAUCUCUCCCAUCCCAAGUCAUUUUUGUUCUCUCCCCGCAGGCAGUCAGAAGACUAGAAGUGAAGGGGUGAGCAGUAGAUAGAGCAGUUUAUAAGACUAUGUUAAGACCAUGAUGAAAAGACAUUAGAGGAAGCAGUAAAAAAGCAAUAUGUGACUCUU